rnacentral:rRNA from 1 species
AUACGGAGGAUCCGAGCGUUAUCCGGAUUUAUUGGGUUUAAAGGGUGCGCAGGCGGCCAUUUAAGUCAGCGGUUAAAUCGUGGGGCUCAACCCCAUUCUGCCGUUGAUACUGGGUGGCUUGAUUGCGGUCGAGGUUGGCGGAAUUCGUUGUGUAGCGGUGAAAUGCAUAGAUAUGACGAAGAACACCGAUUGCGUAGGCAGCUGACCAGAUCGCAAAUGACGCUCAUGCACGAAAGUGCGGGGAUAGAACAGGAUUAGAUACCCUGGUAGUCCGCACAGUAAACGAUGAAUACUUGUUUUCGGCGAUAUAAUGUCGGAGGCAAAGCGAAAGCGAUAAGUAUUCCACCUGGGGAGUACGCCGGCAACGGUGAAACUCAAAUGAAUUGACGGGG